rnacentral:rRNA from 1 species
UACAGAGGGGGCAAGCGUUGUUCGGAAUUACUGGGCGUAAAGGGCUCGUAGGCGGUUUGUCGCGUCGGGAGUGAAAACCUCGGGCUUAACUCGGGGCUUGCUUUCGAUACGGGCAGACUGGAGGUAUGCAGGGGAGAACGGAAUUCCUGGUGUAGCGGUGAAAUGCGCAGAUAUCAGGAGGAACACCGGUGGCGAAGGCGGUUCUCUGGGCAUUACCUGACGCUGAGGAGCGAAAGUGUGGGGAGCGAACAGG